AGUCGAGCGGUAGCAGGGCUUCACCGUGUUUUCGAGGCUUCGGGCUGUUGAGCGGAAGUUUCAAUCGAAGACACAGUGAAGCUGCUGACGAGCGGCGGACGGCUGAGUAACGCGUGGGAACAUACCCCAAACUGAGGGAUAACUAGUCGAAAGAUUAGCUAAUACCGCAUGUGAUCUUCGGAUUAAAGCUUUCGGGCGGUUUGGGAAUGGCCUGCGUACGAUUAGAUAGUUGGUGAGGUAAAGGCUCACCAAGUCGACGAUCGUUAGAUGGUUUGAGAGGAUGAUCAUCCAGACUGGGACUGAGACACGGCCCAGACUCCUACGGGAGGCAGCAGUAGGGAAUCUUUCACAAUGGGCGAAAGCCUGAUGGAGCAACGCCGCGUGCAGGAUGAAGGCCUUCGGGUUGUAAACUGCUUUUAUAAGCGAGAAAUAUGAUGGUAACUUAUGAAUAAGGAUCGGCUAACUACGUGCCAGCAGCCGCGGUCAUACGUAGGAUCCGAGCAUUAUCCGGAGUGACUGGGUGUAAAGAGUUGCGUAGGUGGCAUAAUAAGUAGCUAGUGAAAUCUGGUGGCUCAACCAUUCAGACUAUUAGCUAAACUGUUAAGCUCGAGACCGUUAGGGGUAACUGGAAUUUCUAGUGUAGGAGUGAAAUCCGUAGAUAUUAGAAGGAACACCGAUAGCGUAGGCAGGUUACUGGGACGGUUCUGACACUAAGGCACGAAAGCGU
rnacentral:rRNA from 1 species